rnacentral:rRNA from 1 species
CAGCCGCCGCGGUAACACGUAGGGGGCGAGCGUUGUCCGGAUUUACUGGGCGUAAAGAGCGCGUAGGUGGUUAGGUAAGUCAGGUGUGAAAGGCCAGGGCUCAACCCUGGGAUUGCACUUGAAACUGUUUAACUUGAGGGUAGGAGAGGUAAGUGGAAUUCCUGGUGUAGCGGUGAAAUGCGUAGAUAUCAGGAGGAACACCAGUGGCGAAAGCGACUUACUGGCCUAGCCCUGACACUGAGGCGCGAAAGCGUGGGGAGCGAACAGGAUUAGAUACCCUGGUAGUCCACGCCGUAAACGAUGGGUACUAGGUGUAGGAGGUAUCGACCCCUUCUGUGCCGCAGCAAACGCAUUAAGUACCCCGCCUGGGGAGUACGGCCGCAAGGUUAAAACUCAAAGGAAUUGACGGGGGCCCGCACAAGCGGUGGAGUAUGUGGUUUAAUUCGACGCUACGCGAAGAACCUUACCGGGGCUUGACAUCCCGUGCUAUCUGUGGAAACACAGAGUUCCCGUUUGGGACGCGGAGACAGGUGGUGCAUGGCC